rnacentral:rRNA from 1 species
UACGUAGGGUGCAAGCGUUAAUCGGAAUUACUGGGCGUAAAGCGUGCGCAGGCGGUUGUGUAAGACAGAUGUGAAAUCCCCGGGCUCAACCUGGGAACUGCAUUUGUGACUGCACGGCUGGAGUGCGGCAGAGGGGGAUGGAAUUCCGCGUGUAGCAGUGAAAUGCGUAGAUAUGCGGAGGAACACCGAUGGCGAAGGCAAUCCCCGUGGGCCUGCACUGACGCUCAUGCACGAAAGCGUGGGGAGCAAACAGG